rnacentral:rRNA from 1 species
GAUGAACGCUGGCGGCGUGCUUAACACAUGCAAGUCGAACGAACUCGGACUUCGGUCCACAUGAGUGAGUGGCGAACGGGUGAGUAACACGUGAGAAACCUGCCCCGAAGUUCGGAAUAACCCAGGGAAACUUGGGCUAAUACCGGGUGCCUUUAUCUGAUCGCAUGGUCGGAUGAAGAAAGAUUUAUCGCUUUGGGAGGGUCUCGCGGCCUAUCAGCUAGUUGGUGAGGUAAUGGCUCACCAAGGCAUCGACGGGUAGCUGGUUUGAGAGAACGAUCAGCCACACUGGAACUGAGACACGGUCCAGACUCCUACGGGAGGCAGCAGUGGGGAAUCUUGCACAAUGGGCGAAAGCCUGAUGCAGCGACGCCGCGUGGGGGAUGAAGGCCUUAGGGUCGUAAACCCCUUUCAGCAGGGACGAAAAUGACGGUACCUGCAGAAGAAGCCCCGGCCAACUACGUGCCAGCCGCCGCGGUAAU